rnacentral:rRNA from 1 species
UACGCAGGCGGCUAUGCAAGACAGGUGUGAAAUCCCCGGGCUUAACCUGGGAACUGCAUUUGUGACUGCAUAGCUAGAGUUUGUCAGAGGGGGUGGAAUUCCACGUGUAGCAGUGAAAUGCGUAGAGAUGUGGAGGAACACCGAUGGCGAAGGCAGCCCCCUGGGACCUGACUGACGCUAUGAAGACGUGGGAGGCAAACAA